GUACUACCUCCUCUGUCCCAAAAUUCUUGUCUUAAAUUUUUCUAAAUACGGAUGUAUCAAGUCACGUUUUAGUAUUAGACACAUCUGUAUCUACGCAAAUUUAAGACAAAAAUUUUGGAAUGGAGGGAGUAUUAU
rfam:Triticum urartu cultivar G1812 contig1229839, whole genome shotgun sequence.